UGCAGCCGUGUCAAAUUCGGUGCCUGGCAGGCACUGGCCCGGAAGGCUGCCAUAGAAACAAUGUGGUACAUGGGCCCUGGUCCCCUCUGCUGGGCCUCAGGGAUAAAUUUGGCUACAGACACCA
rnacentral:snoRNA from 1 species